rnacentral:snoRNA from 1 species
AAGACUGUACUUUCAGGGAUCAUUUCUGUAGUUCCUUUCCCUUCAGUGAUUUGCUCCUUAAUCCCUCAGCCCUGCCCGAUCCCCCCGACACACAGUGAAACUCACAAAUAGG